AAUUUCCAGGCACGGUUAACAACAUUUCCGUAAAAAUGAGGAUGUGCUAUCCCGUUUGAAAUAAGUUUUCUACAGGUACAACCAAACUUCAAAACCAAAUCUUUAUAUCUAUGGAAAAAUUUAGUAAAGGUUUUAAGUAAUUUAUGGUAACGAUAUCCCUGGUUUAAUAAUUUACCAGUAAUACAUAGGUUGCGUUCGUUAAAAUCAAAAACGUCACAACAGACACGGGCAUAGAGAAC
rnacentral:lncRNA from 1 species